rnacentral:lncRNA from 1 species
CCCAAUAUUAUUAGAUGGUACACUUCUUUUGCACCCCAUACGCGGUGCAUAAAGAAUUACUCUCGGAGAGAUCUAAAAAUUGACAAAAGUUAAGGUCCGGCACACUAGCUUUAGGAUGGGCUAGGCUUACAUGCAAGGUUUAAAUCUUAGGCUUCAUUUUGCCCUAGGCCCAACACAGACUGACCCAAGUCCACAGCCUUUUAUAUUGUAUGCACUAAUGCAUUGUAUUUACACAUAUAC